AAAUUGAAGAGUUUGAUCAUGGCUCAGAUUGAACGCUGGCGGCAGGCCUAACACAUGCAAGUCGAACGGUAACAGGAAGAAGCUUGCUUCUUUGCUGACGAGUGGCGGACGGGUGAGUAAUAUCUGGGAAACUGCCUGAUGGAGGGGGAUAACUACUGGAAACGGUAGCUAAUACCGCAUAACGUCGCAAGACCAAAGAGGGGGACCUUCGGGCCUCUUGCCAUCGGAUGUGCCCAGAUG
rnacentral:rRNA from 1 species